rnacentral:rRNA from 1 species
AAAUUGAAGAGUUUGAUCAUGGCUCAGAUUGAACGCUGGCGGCAGGCUUAACACAUGCAAGUCGAACGGUAACAGGAAGCAGCUUGCUGCUUUGCUGACGAGUGGCGGACGGGUGAGUAAUGUCUGGGAAACUGCCUGAUGGAGGGGGAUAACUACUGGAAACGGUGGCUAAUACCGCAUAACGUCGC